rnacentral:misc_RNA from 1 species
ACGGACGAAAACGACUACCAGAUCAAGCUGCGCAAUAUGACGCGUUUCUUGCAGGACGAAGACAAGGUAAAAGUGACGCUGCGUUUCCGCGGUCGCGAAAUGGCGCACCAAGAAAUCGGCAUGCGGCAGAUUGAACGCAUCAAGAUCGAUUUGCAGGACUAUGCGACGGUCGAGCAGAUGCCCAAGAUGGAAGGCCGCCAGAUGGUGAUGAUUCUGGCGCCGACGAAGAAGAAGUAAGAGUAACGAGCAGUUUUGUAGUUGUAGUACCCAAGUGGCAUCAGGUUAACAAGCAUUCCCGCCGGGAAACACCUGCCGC